rnacentral:rRNA from 1 species
GAGCUAACGCACGAGGCCAACCGCCUGGGGACUACGGCCGCAAGGUUAAAACUCAAAGGAAUUGACGGGGACCCGCACAAGCAGCGGAGCGUGUGGUUUAAUUCGAGGCUACGCGCAGAACCUUACCAGGGAUUGACAUGGCUGUGGUAGUGAAGCGAAAGCGGAACGACCCUUCGGGGAGCAGUCACAGGUGAUGCAUGGCUGUCGUCAGCUCGUGCCGUGAGGUGUUUGGUUAAGUCCACUAACGAGCGCAACCCUUAGCCCCAGUUAUACGUGUCUGAGGCGACUGCCGGUAUUAAGCCGGAGGAAGGUGGGGAUGACGUCAAGUCCGCAUGUCCUUUAUACCCUGGGCUACACACACGCUACAAUGGCCAGUACAAUGGGUCGCCAAGCCGCGAGGCGGAGCCAAUCCUAAAAAGCUGGUCUCAGUUCGGAUUGCAGGCUGCAACCCGCCUGCAUGAAGUCGGAGUUGCUAGUAACCGCAGGACAGCUAUACUGCGGUGAAUACGUUCCCGGGUCUUGUACACACCGCCCGUCACGUCAUGGGAGCUGGCAACACCUGAAGCCGGUGGGCGAACCGCAAGGACGCAGCCGUCGAAGGUGGGGUCGGUGACUGGGACGAAGUCGUAACAAGGUAGCUGUAGCGGAAGCUGCGGCUGGAUCACCUCC